UGAGUGCACGGAUAUCGGUUAAUUAUUCAAAUUACUGAAAAACACGGAGAAAACCGCAACCGCAUCGUCACGUGUUUUUCUAAGAUGUAUGCAAACAGGGGAAAUAUCGCCAAACCAACAAUUAAUUUGACCAAAACCUCACAAUAUAUCAUCAUUUGUAUGCACAGAUUGGAUGCAUUGUGUGUUGUAAGCUUUUCGUGGCGCUAGAUGUCAGACAGAUGCAAAUGGCAAAUACAUACGAAAGUGUAAAACGUGUAUGGCGAACAUUUGUUUUUUUCUGUCAUUAUAGAUGCUAGUUUGGUGAAAGUUCACACUGAGUGCUUCAAAUCAUUCAGAAGAGAUGCUGUUUUUAGGGCAGUUUAUUAAAGAAGACCUGACAUGGAUGACUUCCAAUGAGAAACGACUGCUAAUACUUAUAUAAAUUCAUUACAGAAGGACCCUACCAGACUAUAUUUGAAUAUGGCAUACCCAUGAAUUCUGGAACUGUUAUUCCUUAACCCAGUUUGGAGGAUAAGAGCUUACCAACUAGUUAUAAAUAUGCUGAGGUGAUGUAUUGCAAAAUAGCCAACAUACAACAAUAUGGAUGACCCUCUGUCUGGUCAACAGGAGUUUAAAUAUGGACGGGACAGUUAUGUGGCAGCUCUUCCCUGGCUCAUUCACCUCUUGCCUUUCAUUUGUGAAAGGAAGAAAGAAGAAAGAGGGUCAAUGUGCAACUGAAGCUACUGAUUGUGCUAUGUGAUUAGCAUCAAUCCAUGCUUUGAGGUGGAUGAAUCAGCACAGCCCUGCGUGCUCUGCGUUGGGAACAGAAGUUGCAUCCAGAAUUUUUGCAUCAUUCUGGACCAAAAAGCCAUUCCCUCCAUGAUGAAGACCACUGAUGAAGCCUUCCACUACAUCAUGAGUAAAACAACUACAGAACUAAAUACCAGGUUGGAACGUAUUUAAGAAAAAUGAAACGUCUUUUGAAUUGAAAUGUCUGUUUUGUUAUGGAAAAAUCUUUAGUAUUGUGAAGGAUAAGCAUUUCUGCCUGCCAGUAAGGUAAUUGCAGUGUAUUUUAAUGUUCAAGUUUUGAGUAGGGUGGCUAAUUUUUUUAAAACUCUCAUUUGAUUUAUUAAAGACCUUAUAAUAAGUGGUUUUCAUGUCACUGCGCUGUGGUAUAAGAUAACUUUCAUUAUUCCAUACUGUAUUCUGUAUUCUAAUUGUAGCUGAGGUAUUUAAAUAAGCAGUGUUAAAUGCAAAGUGUUGUGUGUAUCAAUGUAAAUAUUAAAUGUGAUGUACUUUAAUAAAAAGAGGUUUUGCAAUAUUUCUUGUCAUUUGUCUUUUAUAGAAACAACCCAUUAGCAACAAAAGUGGCUAUUAAUC